rnacentral:rRNA from 1 species
GAUGAACGCUGACAGAAUGCUUAACACAUGCAAGUCAACUUGAAUUUGGGUUUUUAACUUAGGUUUGGGUGGCGGACGGGUGAGUAACGCGUAAAGAACUUGCCUCACAGCUAGGGACAACAUUUGGAAACGAAUGCUAAUACCUAAUAUUAUGAUAAUAGGGCAUCCUAUAAUUAUGAAAGCUAUAAGCGCUGUGAGAGAGCUUUGCGUCCCAUUAGCUAGUUGGAGAGGUAACGGCUCACCAAGGCGAUGAUGGGUAGCCGGCCUGAGAGGGUGAUCGGCCACAAGGGGACUGAGACACGGCCCUUACUCCUACGGGAGGCAGCAGUGGGGAAUAUUGGACAAUGGACCAAGAGUCUGAUCCAGCAAUUCUGUGUGCACGAUGAAGUUUUUCGGAAUGUAAAGUGCUUUCAGUUGGGAAGAAAGAAAUGACGGUACCAACAGAAGAAGUGACGGCUAAAUACGUGCCAGCAGCCGCGGUAAUACGUAUGUCACGAGCGUUAUCCGGAUUUAUUGGGCGUAAAGCGCGUCUAGGUGGUUAUGUAAGCCUGAUGUGAAAAUGCAGGGCUCAACUCUGUAUUGCGUUGGAAACUGUAUAACUAGAGUACUGGAGAGGUAAGCGGAACUACAAGUGUAGAGGUGAAAUUCGUAGAUAUUUGUAGGAAUGCCGAUGGGGAAGCCAGCUUACUGGACAGAUACUGACGCUGAAGCGCGAAAGCGUGGGUAGCAAACAGG